GAUUCCCGAUGCAUGAAAGCAUGCCAUCCAAGGAGCCUUCUGGAAGCUCAGACCCCAGUGGCUCCCUACCAGGCAGUAAGGGCUGGGACAUAUGAGUGCUGGAUCAAAUCUCAGCUAGAACGCACCUCCCCUCCCAUCACUCCCCAAAAUCGCUUCUCUCCCUGUCCUCCACUCUCUCCAAUGUCUUCCACAUUCUCCUGCCCUCCUUCCAAGCUAGUAACUCCCAGAGCCCAGGCCCCUCUGGGAGUGUCCAGUCUGCUUGUUCAUGGGUUGGGAGCUGCUAGGUGAAGUCAGGGACACAACCAAGGGGACCAUCUGCCUCUUACACUGCCAGCCCUGCUCGGGCCUCAGAAAAUCACAGUCAAGGACCAACACACAGCAUCCUUCCUGAAACCCAGCAUCCAAUAUGCAAAUUAAGUAUCCUCAAGCUGACUUGGAGUCUAUUUUUCUACCAGACAAAGAACAAAGUCCCCUGGCUCCCACCACAUUCCCAUACCCUCCACACUUCAAGAUUGGAUUCUGAGCUUAGAACUGGGGUACCCUGCUCCACCUCUCAGUCUUUAGGGAAACUCAUCAAAAGACUGAGAGGAAAACUGGGAGGUUGGGGAGGGGGAUGGUUUCCACCUCUCCCUCCAACCUACACCAGGUCCUACCUCCCUGCCCAUGUGUGUUAUUUCAAGGAAAAUAAAUUUUCUAAGCUCUUA